UACUGGUAAAGGGAUUAAAGCUGUUUUCUUAAUUCACACAUUUCAUCUUCCAUGGAUGAACUCUAGCUUUUCAGCUCAUCUUGCAAGCCCUCCACUACAGAUUCAUACCUGAAUUACCCAGCAAGGUGGAGCACUGUGUGCCAAGACUGGGAGCCAGGAAACCUGGGCGGCUUGGUGUUCUGAAUUUCUCCAUGUCCUUAGAAAGUGGCUUUACUUCUCUUCCUACAUCUUCCUGGGUCCCCAUUAGGGAGGCAGAACUUCCCAUGUCCUGACUUAUCAGGUUCAGCUGGAACUUGAGGCACUGGGCAACUCUCUGGACGUCAGUGGCAAGCCCGGCCAGACCGAUGUACAACCAACCACCCAUGGGAAAGAUCUCCUGGAAGUCCGUGGUCACCAUCUGGGCCUGGAUCCCGAAGUGCCUGUCUGCAGCGAUGGCCACACGGUUCUUCCCCUUCAUGGCCAUGAUGGCUCCUCCGUUAUAGGACAUAAUAGACAUGAUUGUGUGGUAUACGAGGACCCCUCCAUUGCCGGAGCAAUUCCAGUAAACCGGGUCUAGCCUUCACUCCUGCCCAUCAUUUCUGACAUUUAGACUCUACAUAGAGGGUCCUGAGAUUCCAGGCCUUUACUCAUCCUGCAUCCCCUACCUACUUGGAUGAAUAUUAAUAUUUACAAUAACAGAGAAAAGUUCUCCAGAAUGUCUGGGAGGUGAAAGAAGUUAAAUAAAUGGAAAGUGUUGUUAUUGU
rnacentral:lncRNA from 1 species